GCCGGGCGUGGUGGUGCACGCCUGUAAUCCCAGCUACUCGGGAGGCUGAGGCAUGAGAAUCACUUGAACACGGGAGGCGGAGGUUGCAGUGAGCUGAGAUCACACCACUGCCUUGCAGCCUGGGUAACAGAGUGAGACUCUGUCUCAA
rfam:Homo sapiens chromosome 16, GRCh38 reference primary assembly.